GACGAACGCUGGCGGCGUGCUUAACACAUGCAAGUCGAACGGAAAGGCCCCCAUCUUGGUGGGGGUGCUCGAGUGGCGAACGGGUGAGUAACACGUGGGUGAUCUGCCCUGUACUUCGGGAUAAGCUUGGGAAACUGGGUCUAAUACCGGAUAGGACCAUGGUUUAGUGUCUCAUGGUGGAAAGAUUAUUGUUUUGGUGCAGGAUGAGCUCGCGGCCUAUCAGCUUGUUGGUGGGGUAAUGGCCUACCAAGGCGUCGACGGGUAGCCGGCCUGAGAGGGUGGACGGCCACAUUGGGACUGAGAUACGGCCCAGACUCCUACGGGAGGCAGCAGUGGGGAACAUUGCACAAUGGGCGCAAGCCUGAUGCAGCGACGCCGCGUGGGGGAUGACGGCCUUCGGGUUGUAAACUCCUUUCGUUAGGGACGAAGCCACGCUUUUGGGGUGUGGUGACGGUACCUUUGUUAAGAAGCACCGGCUAACUACGUG
rnacentral:rRNA from 1 species